UGGUCAAGUUAUUAAGGGUGCAGGGCGGAUGCCUUGGCACUAGGAGCCGAUGAAGGACGUGAUAAGCUGCGAUAAGCUUCGGGGAGUUGCACGUAAACUUUGAUCCGAAGAUUUCCGAAUGAGGAAACUCACUUAGAGUAAUGUCUAAGUAUCAUUAAGUGAAUACAUAGCUUAAUGAGGGGAACUCAGGGAACUGAAACAUCUAAGUACCUGAAGGAAGAGAAAGAAAUUCGAUUCCGUAAGUAGCGGCGAGCGAACGCGGAUUAGCCCAAACCAAUAAAGUUUUCUUUGUUGGGGUUGCGGACAUAUCAUAACGAAGAGGUAUCGUAAUUGAAGAGGUUUGGAAAGACCCACCACAGAAGGUAAUAGUCCUGUAUGUUAAACGAGAAGACUUCAGAUAUGAUCCAGAGUACCACGGGACACGUGAAACCCUGUGGGAAGCAGGAGGGACCACCCUCCAAGGCUAAAUACUACCUAGUGACCGAUAGCGUAUAGUACCGUGAGGGAAAGGUGAAAAGAACCCCGGGAGGGGAGUGAAAUAGAACCUGAAACCCUGCACUUACAAGCUGUGGAAGCACAUUUCUUGUGUGACCGCGUACUUUUUGUAGAACGGGCCAACGAGUUACGUUAAGUAGCAAGGUUAAGCACUUAAGGUGCGGAGCCGUAGCGAAAGCGAGUUUUAACUGAGCGUUCAGUUACUUGACGUAGACCCGAAACCGGGCGACCUACCCAUGAGCAGGAUGAAGCGAAAGUAAAAUUUCGUGGAGGUCCGAACCCACGAGCGUUGAAAAGCUCGGGGAUGACUUGUGGGUAGCGGUGAAAUUCCAAUCGAGCCCGGAGAUAGCUGGUUCUCCCCGAAAUAGCUUUAGGGCUAGCCUCAAGGUGAGAGAUACGGAGGUAGAGCACUGAAUGUCCUAGGGGGUAUUGCACCUACCGAAGACUAUCAAACUCCGAAUGCCGUCAUCUUAUACUUGGGAGUCAGACUGUGGGUGAUAAGAUUCAUAGUCGAAAGGGCAACAGCCCAGAUCGUCAGCUAAGGUCCCUAAAUGUAAGUUAAGUGGUAAAGGAUGUGGGAUUGCACAGACAACCAGGAUGUUGGCUUAGAAGCAGCCACUCAUUCAAAGAGUGCGUAAUAGCUCACUGGUCGAGUGAUCCUGCGCCGAAGAUUUCCGGGGCUAAAACUUACUACCGAAGCUACGGCAUCAUUAUGAUGGGUAGGGGAGCUUCCCAUACGGGUUGAAGCAUGACCGUAAGGACAUGUGGACAGUAUGGGAGUGAGAAUGUUGGCAUGAGUAGCGAGAUGUGGGUGAGAAUCCCACAGGCCGUAAACCCAAGGUUUCCAGGGGAAGGUUCGUCCGCCCUGGGUUAGUCGGGACCUAAGCUGAGGCCGAAAGGCGUAGGUGAUGGACAACAGGUUGAUAUUCCUGUACUACCGAUAACCGUUUGAGAGAAGGGAUGACACAGUAGGAUAAGCUAAGCACACUGUUGGUUAUGUGUGCCCAAGCAUUGAGGCAGUCAAAGCAGGCAAAUCCGCUUUGAUAAUGCUGGGAUGUGAUGGGGAGCGAAAUUUAGUAGCGAAGUAGCUGAUUUCACACUGUCAAGAAAAGUCUCUAUCGAGGUUAAAGGUACCCGUACCGCAAACCGACACAGGUGGGUGAGGAGAGUAUCCUAAGGCCAGCGAGAGAACUGUUGUUAAGGAACUCGGCAAAAUGACCCCGUAACUUAGGGAUAAGGGGUGCCACCAUCCGGUGGCCGCAGAGAAUAGGCCCAAGCGACUGUUUACCAAAAACAUAGGUUUCUGCUAAGUCGCAAGACGAUGUAUAGGAGCUGACGCCUGCCCGGUGCUGGAAGGUUAAGGGGAUCUGUUAGAGCAAUCGAAGCAGUGAACUUAAGCCCCAGUAAACGGCGGCCGUAACUAUAACGGUCCUAAGGUAGCGAAAUUCCUUGUCGGGUAAGUUCCGACCCGCACGAAAGGCGUAACGAUUUGGGCACUGUCUCAACAACAGACUCGGUGAAAUUGUAAUUCCGGUGAAGAUGCCGGAUACCUGCGACAGGACGGAAAGACCCCAUGGAGCUUUACUGUAGCUUGACAUUGGGUCUUGGUACUACAUGUACAGGAUAGGUGGGAGGCUUUGAAACCAGGACGCCAGUUUUGGCGGAGCCAUCCUUGGGAUACCACCCUUGUAGUACUGGGACUCUAACCAUAGGCCAUGAAUCUGGUCUUGGGACACUGUCAGGUGGGCAGUUUGACUGGGGCGGUCGCCUCCCAAAAGGUAACGGAGGCGCUCAAAGGUUCUCUCAGUACGGUCGGAAAUCGUACGUAGAGUGUAAAGGCAAAAGAGAGCUUGAUUGCAAGACAUACAGGUCGAGCAAGGAUGAAAAUCGGACUUAGUGAUCCGGUGGUUCUGCGUGGAAGGGCCAUCGCUCAACGGAUAAAAGCUACCCUGGGGAUAACAGGCUUAUCUCCCCCAAGAGUCCACAUCGACGGGGAGGUUUGGCACCUCGAUGUCGGCUCAUCACAUCCUGGGGCUGUAGUAGGUCCCAAGGGUUGGGCUGUUCGCCCAUUAAAGUGGUACGCGAGCUGGGUUCAGAACGUCGUGAGACAGUUCGGUCCCUAUCCGUCGCAGGCGUAGGAAAUUUGAGAAGACCUGUCCUUAGUACGAGAGGACCGGGAUGGACGUACCUCUGGUGUACCAGUUGUUCUGCCAAGGGCAUGGCUGGGUAGCUAUGUACGGAAUGGAUAAGCGCUGAAAGCAUCUAAGCGCGAAGCCAACUUCAAGAUAAGAUUUCCCACCGCAAGGGUAAGACCCCAGAAAGACUAUCUGGUUGAUAGGUCGAAGGUGUAAGUGCAGCAAUGUAUUUAGCUUAUCGAUACUAAUAGGUCGAGGACUUGACCAAU
rnacentral:rRNA from 1 species